GUGAACGCUGGCGGUAGGCCUAACACAUGCAAGUCGGACGGCAGCACAGUAAGAGCUUGCUCUUACGGGUGGAGAGUGGCGGACGGGUGAGGAAUACAUCGGAAUCUACUUUUUCGUGGGGGAUAACGUAGGGAAACUUACGCUAAUACCGCAUACGACCUACGGGUGAAAGCAGGGGAUCUUCGGACCUUGCGCGAUUGAAUGAGCCGAUGUCGGAUUAGCUAGUUGGCGGGGUAAAGGCCCACCAAGGCGACGAUCCGUAGCUGGACUGAGAGGAUGAUCGGCCACCCUGGAACUGGACCACGGUCCAGACUACUACGGGAGGGAGCAGUGGGGAAUAUUGGACAACGGGGGCAAGCCUGAUACAGUCAGAGCGCGUGGGUGGAGAAGGCCCUCGGGUUGUAAAGCCCUUUUGUUGGGAAAGAAAAGCAGCAGGUUAAUACCCCGCUGUUCUGACGGUACCCAAAGAAUAAGCAACGGCUAACUUCGUG
rnacentral:rRNA from 1 species